GAUGGUCUGGCCUCUUUAUUGUUCACAUUAUUUUUCCACAUGGAGCAAUUGAAAUUAAGGAUCCAAAGAUUGGUGUCACUUUUAAAGUUAAUAGUUAAAGAUUAAAGGUAUAUCUAGAGAAUAAACCACAUAGAGAGGAUACUAAAAUAAAUUUGAGUGACCCACCAAAUUUGAAUUGAGAUUUUUCUUUUUUUUCAAUGAUUUGAUUUUUUCUUUCUUUUUACUAUUCUUUUGCUAAUUGAAAUUAUUUUUGCAUAAGUGUGUUUGUUUAACAAUUAAGUUUUCU
rnacentral:lncRNA from 1 species